rnacentral:piRNA from 1 species
UGAUAAGAGCACCUUCCCGUUUAACCACAGC